UACGGAGGGUGCGAGCGUUAUCCGGAUUCAGUCUGGGUUUAAAGGGUGCGUAGGUGGGUCUGUAAGUCAGUGGUGAAAUCUCCGGGCUUAACCUGGAAACUGCCAUUGAUACUAUAGGUCUUGAAUUUUCUGGAGGUAAGCGGAAUAUGUCAUGUAGCGGUGAAAUGCUUAGAUAUGACAUAGAACACCAAUUGCGAAGGCAGCUUGCUACAGGAAUAUUGACACUGAGGCACGAAAGCGUGGGGAUCAAACAGG
rnacentral:rRNA from 1 species